rnacentral:rRNA from 1 species
AAGACCUUACGCUUUUGGAGCGGCCGAUGUCUGAUUAGCUUGUUGGUGAGGUAAAGGCUUACCAAGGCUUCGAUCAGUAGCUGGUCUGAGAGGACGACCAGCCACACUGGGACUGAGACACGGCCCAGACUCCUACGGGAGGCAGCGGUGGGGAAUUUUGGACAAUGGGGGAAACCCUGAUCCAGCCAUGCCGCGUGAGUGAAGAAGGCCUUCGGGUUGUAAAGCUCUUUCAGCCGGAACGAAACGGUUACGGUUAAUACCCGUGAUUACUGACGGUACCGGAAGAAGAAGCACCGGCUAACUACGUGCCAGCAGCCGCGGUAAUACGUAGGGUGCGAGCGUUAAUCGGAAUUACUGGGCGUAAAGCGUGCGCAGGUGGUUUUGUAAGUCAGAUGUGAAAUCCCCGGGCUUAACCUGGGAACU